GAAGAGGACGGCUAACUCUGUGGCCAGCAGCUGCGGUAAUACCAGAGGUCUCAAGCGUUGUUCGGAUUCAUUGGGCGUAAAGGGGUGCGUAGGUGGGUGAUGCAAGUCUGGUGUGAAAUCUCGGAGCUUAACUCCGAAAUUGCACCGGAUACUGCGUUGCUCGAGGACUGUAGAGGAGAUCGGAAUUCACGGUGUAGCAGUGAAAUGCGUAGAUAUCGUGAGGAAGACCAGUUGCGAAGGCGGAUCUCUGGGCAGUUCCUGACACUGAGGCACGAAGGCCAGGGGAGCAAACGGGAUUAGAUACCCCGGUAGUCCUGGCAGUAAACGGUGCACGUUUGGUGUGGGCGGGUUCAGACCCCGUCCGUGCCGGAGCUAACGCGUUAAACGUGCCGCCUGGGAAGUACGGUCGCAAGAUUAAAACUCAAAGAAAUUGACGGGGGCCCGCACAAGCGGUGGAGUAUGUGGCUUAAUUCGAUGCAACGCGAAGAACCUUACCUGGCCUUGACAUGCAUUGUGUUCCCGGUGAAAGCCGGGUAGCUGGUAGUAAUACCAGCGCCUUGCACAGGUACUGCAUGGCUGUCGUCAGCUCGUGUCGUGAGAUGUUGGGUUAAGUCCCGCAACGAGCGCAACCCCUGUGUCCUGUUGCCCGCAAGGGAUCUCUGGACAGACUGCCCUGUGAAACGGGGAGGAAGGUGGGGAUGACGUCAAGUCAGUAUGGCCCUUACGGCCAGGGCUGCACACGUACUACAAUGCUCAGUACAGAAUGAACCGAAUCCGCAAGGUGGAGGAAAUCCCUAAAACUGGGCCCAGUUCGGAUUGGAGGCUGCAAUUCGCCUCCAUGAAGCCGGAAUCGCUAGUAAUGGCGCAUCAGCUACGGCGCCGUGAAUACGUUCCCGGGCCUUGUACACACCGCCCGUCACAUCAUGGGAGUCGUUUGUAGCCGAAGUACGCGCGCUAACCGCAAGGAGGCAGCGUCCUACGCUA
rnacentral:rRNA from 1 species